rnacentral:tRNA from 1 species
GCGGGUGUAGCUCAGUUGGUAGAGCAGCUGACUCUUAAUCAGAAGGUCGGGGGUUCAAAUCCCUUCACCCGCACCA